AAAGUCUGUAAGGAACUUUAUUUGUGUAUGUUUAACUGCAUAUCAAGACAGUCACAUGAAUGGAUAGGAAUAUGCAGGUAAGACUUCUACAGGAAAUUAGAAGCUCUCAUAUUUUUGUGUCUGAUUUUCAAUCAGUCUUCUUUAUUAUGAUCUUUCUUAUUGUGUGGCUUUAAAUUAGAGGUGGCACCAUUUUCACAUUUUAAACUCUUGUAAUUUUGUGGUGGGUUCAGCCUGCACCCAGCCAGCUUCUCAGUUACUUCCUUCUCUCAUGCAAUGGCAAGAGAACAGAAGGAAAAUAAGACUCAUGUCUCAGAAUAGUAGCAGUUUAAUAGGUAAAGCAAAAGUUACAUGCAGAAGGAAAGCAAAACCAGAGCUUCCUUAGUUAUUUUGUAUUGUCAGGCAGACACAAACAUCUCAUCCUCUUCCUUUCCCCGGGCUUUUACAACUGAAUAUGGCAUCAUCUGAUAUAGAAUAUCCCCUUGGUUAGUUUGUGCUCAAUGUCCUCUGUACAUCUGCCCCUGAUUUCUUGCCCACCCCAGCAUACUCGCUGCAGGGAAAAAAAUUUGAUACUGUGCAAGUUUUUUUAGUGAUAGCCAAGCAUUACAUAACCAAAGAAGGGGUUCUUUGCAUUGACUUUUGAAAUGAGAAGACCGGCCUCACCUAUACAGAGAAGUUGAAAGAAUGUAAACGUGGGAUAUCAUUGCACAUUUCCUGUACUUUACAUUAAUAUUAAUUUGGUACACAUGAGUUUACAAGACCAGGAACCAAGUACAGCAGGGUUCCGUAGAUAAGACCCAAAAAUAACAACUGUUUCUACUGCUUUACAGUUUCUGUGGUCACCUCUACAUGCAAAGUGACCAUACAGACACACUACCAUAUUGUCUACUCAAAUUCCUAGUCUUUUAUAUUUCUUCCUGAUGACUCGUCAUUAUUCUCCCAGAAAUGUCAUCUAUCAAGUUCACUAGUAGGUUUACUAACCUCUCAAAGUACACCCUUCAUAUUAAUAUUACGUCCCGCUCCCACCACACCUUACUGAAUUUAGAGUGCUGAGUCUGAACUUCAUCCUACUGAAAAAAACAGCGUUACUAAAAUACAGGCUUUCAAUUCAGGCAUUAUAUCCCUGUGUAGUCUCCUUUCUGAAGUUACGAGAACAAGCCUUAAGACCUUUCAUUGAUGUGAUACAGCCUCAUUGCUUUCUUCUUAGAGUAAAAUACAAUAGUCUUAAUAAGUUUUUUUCUCAAAAAUAAGGAGAGAUGGGGCUAGAAUUAUCCUGUCAUGCAUGUGGAGUAUCUGAGUAUUAGAUUGCUGAAAGUGGAAUAGUACAAACAUACUUUUUUGGAAGCACAUUCUGAACAAAUAAGUUCAAGACUUACGUUUCUUUGUAUCAGAAACAAGAAUUGUAAAUAUGAAAACGUAUAAAAAUAAAAAAGCA